AGUGGCGGCGGCGGCGGGUCCGGAGGUGGCGGCAGGUGGCCCCGCGCGCGGCGGCCGGCCCGGCCGGGGGCGGGCGGGAAGGUGGCGCCUCGGGCGGGGGCCGGUCCCUGCACCAGGUGACCUGUUCCGGCCCGGAUCCGGGCGGCCUCGCCAUGCAGCGGCGCGGCGCGGGGCUCGGGUGGCCGCGGCAGCAGCAGCAGCAACCCCCGCCGCUCGCGGUCGGCCCCCGGGCCGCAGCCAUGGUCCCGAGUGGCGGCGUCCCCCAGGGCCUCGGCGGCCGCUCUGCCUGCGCGCUGCUCCUGCUCUGCUACCUGAAUGUUGUACCAUCUUUGGGUAGGCAGACUUCCCUGACGACAUCAGUGAUACCCAAAGCUGAGCAGAGCGUGGCUUACAAAGACUUUAUUUAUUUUACUGUCUUUGAAGGAAACGUUCGCAACGUUUCUGAAGUCUCGGUUGAGUAUUUAUGCUCUCAGCCUUGUGUUGUCAAUUUGGAAGCAGUUGUUUCAUCUGAGUUCAGAAGUAGCAUUCCCGUGUACAAAAAAAGGUGGAAGAAUGAGAAACAUCUUCACACCAGCAGGACACAAAUAGUACAUGUGAAAUUUCCAAGCAUUAUGGUUUACAGAGAUGAUUAUUUCAUCAGACAUUCCAUCUCUGUAUCUGCAGUGAUAGUACGCGCCUGGAUUACUCACAAAUACAGUGGCAGAGACUGGAAUGUUAAAUGGGAGGAAAACUUGCUCCAUGCUGUAGCAAAGAAUUAUACCCUCCUGCAGACCAUCCCGCCUUUUGAACGCCCUUUCAAAGAUCAUCAAGUGUGCCUUGAGUGGAACAUGGGUUAUAUUUGGAACCUUCGGGCAAACAGGAUUCCACAGUGUCCUCUGGAAAAUGAUGUGGUUGCCCUGCUUGGCUUUCCUUAUGCCUCCAGUGGAGAAAACACAGGCAUUGUCAAGAAGUUCCCGAGGUUUCGGAACCGAGAGCUGGAGGCCACUCGACGCCAGAGGAUGGAUUACCCAGUGUUUACUGUUUCAUUGUGGCUUUAUUUACUCCAUUAUUGCAAGGCCAACCUCUGUGGGAUUCUGUACUUUGUUGACUCUAAUGAGAUGUACGGCACACCUUCUGUAUUUCUUACGGAAGAGGGCUAUUUGCAUAUUCAGAUGCAUCUUGUCAAAGGGGAAGACCUUGCUGUAAAAACUAAAUUCAUCAUACCUUUGAAGGAGUGGUUUCGACUGGAUAUCUCUUUUAACGGAGGCCAGAUAGUAGUAACCACUAGCAUUGGACAGGAUUUGAAAAGCUACCACAAUCAGACCAUUAGCUUCCGGGAGGAUUUCCAUUAUAAUGACACAGCUGGGUACUUCAUUAUUGGAGGGAGCAGGUAUGUGGCUGGCAUUGAAGGGUUUUUUGGACCCCUGAAGUACUAUCGCCUUCGCAGUCUGCACCCCGCCCAGAUUUUUAAUCCCCUCCUUGAGAAGCAACUUGCUGAACAAAUCAAGUUAUAUUAUGAAAGGUGUGCUGAGGUUCAAGAAAUAGUAUCUGUGUAUGCAUCUGCAGCAAAGCACGGGGGCGAGAGACAAGAAGCAUGCCACCUCCACAACUCCUACCUGGACCUCCAGCGCAGGUAUGGGAGACCCUCGAUGUGCAGAGCCUUCCCCUGGGAGAAGGAGCUGAAAGACAAACACCCCAGCUUGUUCCAGGCAUUGCUGGAGAUGGAUCUGCUGACCGUGCCAAGGAACCAAAAUGAAUCUGUAUCAGAAAUCGGUGGGAAGAUAUUUGAGAAGGCUGUAAAGAGACUCUCUAGCAUUGAUGGUCUUCACCAAAUUAGCUCUAUCGUCCCCUUUCUGACGGAUUCCAGCUGCUGUGGAUACCAUAAAGCAUCCUACUACCUUGCAGUCUUUUAUGAGACUGGAUUAAAUGUUCCUCGGGAUCAGCUGCAGGGCAUGUUGUAUAGUUUGGUUGGAGGCCAGGGGAGUGAGAGGCUGUCUUCAAUGAAUCUUGGGUAUAAACACUACCAGGGUAUUGACAACUACCCCCUGGACUGGGAACUGUCGUAUGCCUACUACAGCAACAUUGCCACCAAGACACCCCUUGACCAGCACACACUGCAAGGAGAUCAGGCAUAUGUUGAAACAAUUAGACUAAAAGAUGAUGAAAUACUCAAGGUACAAACCAAAGAAGAUGGAGAUGUCUUUAUGUGGUUGAAGCAUGAAGCUACCCGAGGCAAUGCAGCAGCUCAGCAACGAUUGGCCCAGAUGCUGUUCUGGGGGCAGCAAGGUGUGGCCAAGAAUCCCGAAGCAGCAAUUGAGUGGUACGCCAAGGGCGCCCUGGAGACGGAGGAUCCUGCGUUAAUCUAUGACUAUGCCAUUGUGCUAUUCAAGGGUCAAGGAGUAAAAAAGAACAGACGGCUUGCCUUAGAGCUGAUGAAGAAAGCAGCUUCCAAGGGAUUGCAUCAGGCAGUCAAUGGCCUGGGAUGGUAUUACCACAAAUUCAAGAAAAAUUACGCCAAAGCAGCAAAGUACUGGUUAAAAGCAGAAGAAAUGGGGAACCCAGAUGCGUCAUACAAUCUUGGAGUCCUGCAUUUGGAUGGCAUCUUCCCUGGAGUUCCUGGAAGGAAUCAAACUUUAGCUGGUGAAUAUUUCCAUAAGGCUGCGCAAGGUGGACACAUGGAAGGGACCUUGUGGUGUUCUCUCUACUAUAUCACAGGCAACCUGGAGACAUUCCCUAGAGAUCCUGAGAAAGCUGUUGUAUGGGCAAAACAUGUAGCUGAGAAAAAUGGCUACUUGGGCCAUGUCAUCCGCAAAGGCCUCAAUGCCUACCUGGAAGGUUCAUGGCAUGAAGCUUUGCUGUAUUAUGUUUUAGCAGCAGAAACUGGAAUUGAAGUGUCACAGACAAAUUUAGCACACAUCUGUGAGGAGAGGCCAGACCUGGCCAGGAGAUACUUGGGUGUUAACUGUGUUUGGAGAUACUAUAAUUUCUCUGUUUUUCAAAUCGAUGCUCCUUCCUUUGCAUAUUUGAAGAUGGGAGACCUUUACUACUAUGGCCACCAAAACCAGUCACAAGACCUGGAGUUGUCUGUGCAGAUGUACGCCCAAGCCGCCCUGGAUGGAGACUCCCAGGGAUUUUUUAACCUGGCCCUGCUAAUCGAGGAAGGUACGAUAAUCCCACACCAUAUCUUGGAUUUCUUGGAAAUUGACUCAACUCUCCAUUCUAAUAACAUCUCCAUUCUCCAGGAACUGUACGAAAGGUGCUGGAGCCACAGUAACGAGGAGUCCUUCAGCCCCUGCUCCUUGGCCUGGCUUUACCUGCACUUGCGGCUUCUCUGGGGUGCUAUCCUGCACUCAGCCCUGAUCUACUUUCUGGGAACCUUUCUGCUAUCCAUAUUGAUCGCCUGGACUGUGCAGUAUUUCCAGUCUGUCUCAGACCCCCAGGAACAAAAUAUAACAGAGUAGUGUAAAAGUUUGUCCUCUCCAGCAAUCUCAUGGCAAAAAGGCUCGAAAGCACAACUGUGCAAACACAUUUGAAGACGUCCAUCAUGUCACUUCCACUGAGAUCCCACUGGCGAAAGCAAGUCACAUGGAGACAGAUUUUCACUCUCGUUGCCUGGGCUGAAGGGCAGUGGCACGAUCUCGGCUCACCGCAACCUACGCCUCCCGGGUUCAAACGAUUCUCUUGCCUCAGCCUCCCAAGUAGCUGGAAUUACAGGCAUGUGCCACCACGCUAGGCUAAUUUUGUAUUUUUAGUAGAGACGGGGUUUCUUCAUGUUGGUCAGGCUGGUCUCACACCCCUGACGUCAGGUGAUCUGCCUGCCUCAGCCUCCCAAAGUGCUGGGAUUACAGGCGUGAGCCACCACGCCCAGCCUAGUAAUAAUACUUACUACCCAAGAGCUAUUAACCUCCUGAUCCAAUAAUCUUAUAUGACUAGCAUGUAUCAUGGCUUGUAUAGUAAAAAUACCUCUAUAUGGACUUCACCUAAGACUCCUCAAAGCUCAUAUAGAAGCUCAAUAGUUCUUGCAGCAGUACUCCUAAAGCUAGGCAGUUACGGUAUGAUACAGCUUACUCUUAUCCUCACCCCCCUAACAGAAUAGAUAGCCUGUCUGUUCCUCAUCUUGUCCCUAUGAGGAAUAGCUCUGUUUGUCUACGAUAAACUGAUCGAAAAUCACGUAUUGGCUACUCCUCCGUAAGCCACAUAGCACUUGUUAUUAUGCCUAUCCUCAUCCAGACCCUUGAAGCUUUAUAGGUGCAAUCACCCUUAUAAUUGCUCGCGCAUUCACUUCAUCCUUACUAUUCUGCCUAGCAAAUUCAAACUAUGAGCGAGUCCAUAGAUGAACCAUAUUACUUACCCGAGGGCUUCAAACACUGCUCCCACUAAUAGCCUCUUCUAGCAAAUCUUACUAACCUUGCCUUACUCCCUACCAUUAAUCUAGCAGGAGAACUCUUUGUGACUAUGGCCUCAUUCUCCUGAUCAAAUGUCACUAUUAUGCUUAUAGGACUUAAUAUACUAAUUACAGCCCUUUCCUCCCUGUAUAUGCUAAUCAAGACACAAUGAGGGACACUUGCAUAUUAUAUUAACAGUAUUAAACCUUCCUUUACAUGAGAAAAUACAUUAAUACUUAUACAUCUUGAGCCUAUCUUCCUAUUAUCCUUAAACCCUAAAAUUAUUAUAGGGUUUGCAUGCUGUAGCUAUAGUUCAACCAAAACAUUAGAUUGUGGAUCUAACAAUAGAAGCCUGCAACUUCUUACCUAUCAAGAAAGUAUGCAAGAACUGACAGCUCAUGCCCCCAUGCCUGAUAAUAUGGUUUUCUCAACUUUUAAAGGAUUAGAGUCAUCCGUUGGUCUUAGGGACUUAUCACUUACUAUGUACAAGGAUCAUGCAUUCAUAAGAUUGUUUAACCUUUAUCUUAGUUAAUCUUCUAGCUACUAUAAUUAUCCCCAUCUUGCAGCUGAGGAAAAUGAGGCUUAAAGAGAUUACGUGACUUGCCCAGGGUCACAGUGCUUACAAAUGGUAGAACUGAAAGUAAACCCUGGCAAAAACAUCUUUGCUUCUUAGCAUUCUAUGCUAAAUUCCUCCUCUGUUCAUUUUAUUUUUUUGAGACAGAGUCUCGCUCUGUCGCCCAGGCUGGAGUGCAGUGGCCCAGUCUUGGCUCACUUCAACCUCCACCUCCCGGGUUCAAGUGAUUCUCCUGCCUCAGCCUCCCAAGUAGCUGGGACUACAGGCAUCUGCCACCACGCCCGGCAAUUUUUUGUAUUUUUAGUAGAGAUGGGGUUUCAUCAUGUUGGCCAGGCUGGUCUCAAACUCCUGACCUCAGGUCAUCCACUUGCCUCAGCCUUCCAAAGUGCAGGGAUUACAGGCGUGAGCCACUGUGCCCUGCACAAUCAUUGGUUUUUAUAAAACAAAAUAUUAUAGCCACAAAAAAUAUCCCAUAACCAUUCUUCCCUACUCCUAUCGUGGUAGAAAAAAACCUAGUUCUUGUCACACAGCCAGGAAAAGGUUCAUCCUCCCUCUAUGCCCAGAGGUAACCAUGACUUGAAUUUAAUGGGGUUUUUUUUAUUUUUAAUUUUUGUGCUACAUAGUAGGUGUAUAUAUUUAUGGAUUACAUGAGUUUUGUUUUUGUUUUUGUUUGUUUUUCAAGACAGGGUCUCACUCUGUCAUCCAGGCUGGAGAGCAGUGGUGUGAUCUCGGCUCACUGCAACCUCUGACUCCUGGGUUCAAGUGAUCCUCUCACCUCAGCCUCCCAAGUAGCUGGGACUACAGGCAUGCACUACCAUGCCCGGCUAAUUUUUCUAUUUUUAAUAGUGACAGGGUUUCACCAUGUUGACCAGGCUGGUCUCGAACUCCUGGGCUCAAGAGAUCCAUCUGCCUUGGCCUCCAAAGGUUCUGGGGUUACAGGCAUGAGCCACCGCACCUGGCCUUUUUUUGAAUUUAGUGUUUCUAAUUCCAUUGUACUUGUCAUACUCUUACUACAUAUGUAGAUUAGCACAAAAAUUACAUAGAAUUAUUUGAAUGUUUUAAAAUUUUAUUUAAGUAAUAUUCUUUAAACCAUUUGCUUUUCAACUCCAGCUUACGUGUUUACACUUUAUUCUCAUUGAUACAUAUAGGAAUCUUGGAAUAGGAAUAUUGCUAUAUAAUGUUCAAUUUUGUAAUAACAUUAUUUAUUCAUUUUCUUGUUGAUUUUUGUUAAUACAAAUAAUAUAUCAAUGGAUAUUUUGUACGUAUCUUUUAAAGCAAAUGUUCUAGAAGUUUUCUAGAUUAUGUACCCAAAAGUGCAAUUACUGUGUCAAAGGGCAUGCAUAUUUUCUACUUUAUUGCCAUGUAGUUCUCCAAUGUGGUAAUACCAAUUUACAUUCCUGCCAGCAAGCUAUGAAUGUUCUCUAUGUUCUAUAUCCUCACCAAUACUUGAAUGUGUCAGAAUUUAAAACGUUUCCCAAUCAACUGUAGUAAAAUGAUAGCUCAUUUUAAUAUAUAGUUUCCUGAUCACUAUAAUAAGCCUUUCUUAUUAUGUUAAUUGGCCAUUUACAUUUCUUCUUCUGUGAGUGUUUUGAUCAUAUUUUCUGUUCAUUUUCAUAUUGGAUUUUUUUUUCUUAUUGAUUUGGAACUCUGGAUACGAAUCUUUUCUCAGUUACGUGUAUUGAAAAUAUAUUCUCCUACUGUCUUUUAACCUCUUAUGAUACCUUUUAUUAUAUCAAAAAUUUUAACUUCAAUGUAGCAAAUGUGUUCAAUUUUAAUAUAUUGCUCUUUCUUUUGAAAGAUAAUGCAUACAGCACAUAGCUUAAACUUCAAGAGGUACAAAAGAGCAUAUAGUAAAAGGUCUAUUCUCUGCCUCUUCAAAUCACCCAAUUCCCUUUAGUGUCCUCCCAGAAUUAUGCACAUAAAAGCAAAAUACAAUAAAUAUUUUCACUUUUUUAAUCCAAA